GGUCCAGCCUCCCUGGACCAGGCAGGCAGAGGAGGUGGGGGAGGCACGGAGAGAGAUGAUAACCAGAGCUAACGCUUGUUGGACACUUUCCUGGCCAGGCCCUGGGCGAAGCGGCUAUGCUUCCCUCCUACGUUAUCUCAAUGCAGAGCCCUGAGGCCCAGAGAGACAUCACCGUGCUGGUGAAUGCGAGAAGAGGCAUUUGAGGGCUCAAGAGUGAUGUGGAAACUGACCUGCGAUAACGGACCCAGAAUGACACAGCUGAGUGACAAAGUCACGACUGGAGCCCGGUCAGCCUCCAUUGGUCACUACCCUACAUUACGUUUAAUGAAAUCCUGCCUGUGCUGAUAAUCCCAGGUGUGGACUCUGGAGCCAGGCCUUCUAGGUUCCGUUCAUGACGCUGACAGUCAUGGGCUGCGGGACUUUGGGCAAGCCACGUAAAGAGCUGGGGAACCGUGCCGAGCAAACAGCUGAGUUCGCGACUGGCUUGCUCUGGCUAAGGUGACACCGAAGCAACUCACCUGCCCG